CGCACAUUGCGCUCUCUGGUAUUCCGGAGAGCAUGCUUGUUUGAGUAUCAGUAAAAACACCCUCAACUCCCCUCUCCCUGUUGUUCUCUCUGAGAAACACGUGCGGGGCAGGGGGGGUUGGACUUGAGCGAUUCCAACGGCGGUGGACAGGUCGAUCUUUUUUGGUCGACUCGUGAAACCGCUGGCGGGCCGCUUGAAAUGCAGGUGCGGCAGGACACAUCUUCUGAGCUAUAAGCAUUACUUAUUUAGUCCCGUUAAACGGAUUAUCUCUAUUGCUGCAGCUAAUAUAAAGGUCGAUUGUUCUUGUGCCCGACUGAUGCAGGAAAAUGAAGGGCGGGUCUUUGUUAAUUCCAAGACGCGUCCUUUGUUCAACUCGAUCUCAAAUCAAGCAAGACUACCCGCUGAACUUAA
rnacentral:misc_RNA from 1 species